CCUGCAAGUAUAAGCAACUAACUAAAUCAUUACUCCAAGAGACUCCAUUAUAAGGCUUCUAUUCUUUAGGACUAAAAUUUUGUAAAUUUCAUCUGUGCACUAGUUUUCCUUCCAUAGAUGAUUUCCAGAUAACUACACACCACCCCCACCUUACAUAUGAAUGGAACUACAGUCUACAGAUUGUGAAACCCCACAAGAACAGGCUUAAAAGUAACAUUAAUGGGAAGGAACACAUAAAAGCUGACACAGUGUGAUAUGGACUACAAAGAAACACCACAACCAGCAUAUACAUGGCUUUAUCAAGCUUCGAGAAUGGUUGAGAAAUCUAAUUCCAGCCAAGAGACUAUAAAACAAUAUGCUUGGUGAUGUUCUAACUACAAAUACUCGAAUUGAAAAUAAAAAAUCGAAUUCCAUCAACUCCGACAAAUAGCAAAUAAUUAAUCAUCCAAUUGGUAAAACUAAAUCGAACGAAAGAGAAGGGCUAAGAGUGCGAGAUAAACCUCUGGAAGCGGAUAUGAGGGAACGAUACGCUUGCUCAAGAUUCGCAGAGCACCCACCAACAUCUCUCUGACCAAUAGAAGAUUUGAGACGCUUAUAGUAGUCAUGCACUCUUCGAAUCUCUUCUUUGUUCCUGCUUCUGGUUUGAAUUUCCU
rnacentral:lncRNA from 1 species